UACGGGGGGGGCAAGCGUUGUUCGGAAUUACUGGGCGUAAAGGGCUCGUAGGUGGCCAACUAAGUCAGACGUGAAAUCCCUCGGCUUAACCGGGGAACUGCGUCUGAUACUGGAUGGCUUGAGUUCGGGAGAGGGAAGUGGAAUUUCCGGUGUAGCGGUGAAAUGCGUAGAUAUCGGAAGGAACAUCAGUGGCGAAAGCGACUUCCUGGACCAAUACUGACGCUCAUGUGCGAAAGCGUGGGGAGCAAACAGG
rnacentral:rRNA from 1 species